UACAGAGGUCUCAAGCGUUGUUCGGAUUCAUUGGGCGUAAAGGGUACGUAGGCGGCGCGGUAAGUCGGGUGUGAAAUCUUGGAGCUUAACUCCGAAACUGCAUUCGAUACUGCCGUGCUUGAGGACUGGAGAGGAGACUGGAAUUUACGGUGUAGCGGUGAAAUGCGUAGAUAUCGUAAGGAAGACCAGUGGCGAAGGCGGGUCUCUGGACAGUUCCUGACGCUGAGGCACGAAGGUCAGGGGGAGCAAACGGG
rnacentral:rRNA from 1 species